rnacentral:lncRNA from 1 species
GGAACCGGCCAGGAUGCGAUGGGGGCGGGUUUGUGGGGCGCGUUCUCCCACCCGUUAGGGUCGAAUAAUGGCAGUGGGCGGGCCGGCGCAGUCUCGGCGCUCUCGUUCCCCAGAGGAGUUAAUCGUUUAUGGCAACUCCAGUGAGUGCCCCCAGCCCGGCACCCGGCACUCAGCACUCAGCACCCAGCACUCAGCACCCAGCUCAGCCUGCAGAGCCCUUGGGCAGAGUCGAGCGGGUCUCCCACGGAAACUCACUCAAGCGCGGUAGGCACAGAGAUGUCAGCACAGGUCUGCGACCCAGGGACAACUCCUUAGUCAUCUGGUGAACAGCGUCAAGUGCACACUGCUGCCGCUUCCUGCUGUCCGAGGUCGGUCCACAGAAAACCCAAACCUGCAGCUCUUGGCUCAGCCGUCCCAUAGCUAAUUAACACAAUAAAAG